GACGAACGCUGGCGGCGUGCCUAACACAUGCAAGUCGAACGGGGUAAUUUCCUUCGGGAGAUUACUUAGUGGCGAACGGGUGAGUAACGCGUGAGGAACCUGCCUUUCAGUGGGGGACAACAGUUGGAAACGACUGCUAAUACCGCAUAACAUAUUCGAGCGGCAUCGCUUGGAUAUCAAAGCUUUAUGUGCUGAAAGAUGGCCUCGCGUCCGAUUAGAUAGUUGGUGAGGUAACGGCUCACCAAGUCGACGAUCAGUAGCCGGUCUGAGAGGAUGGACGGCCACAUUGGGACUGAGAUACUGCCCAGACUCCUACGGGAGGCAGCAGUGGGGAAUAUUGGGCAAUGGGGGAAACCCUGACCCAGCAACGCCGCGUGAAGGAAGAAGGCCUUCGGGUUGUAAACUUCUUUUAGCAGGGACGAAGGACGUGACGGUACCUGCAGAAAAAGCAACGGCUAACUACGUGCCAGCCGCCGCAGUAAAAC
rnacentral:rRNA from 1 species